UCCCCAAUAGCUCAGUUGGUAGAGCGACGGACUGUUAAUCCGUGUGUCACUGGUUCAAGUCCAGUUUGGGGAGCCA
rnacentral:tRNA from 1 species